AAAAUCCUAACUCAUUUUCCUCUCCACUCUAACCAGACGAACCCCUCAGCCGUUCUUCGUCUCUCUCCUUUCUCUCUCACACUUCUCAUUUGCGAUCCUAAAAACCCAAAGCCUUCGCGGCCUCCGCCCUCUAACGACCCCGAUGAGGAGUCACACCGGUGUGAACCCUAAAAUCUAACCCCCUAAGAACAUAAACUCUUAAUCUCCUCUUCAAAACCCAGACGAAACGAAAGCCUCCACGGCCUCCACCAUACCCCACGACUCCGAUGAAGAACCCCUCAACCUCGACGAACCUAGACCUAGACCUUCAGUCUUAAACAAACAACCUAGACACUACAACCACGAAUCCACUGCUAACCCAGACGAACCCGAAGCCUAAAAUAGACAUGCACAACUCGAAAUCGACGGGAGACGAAGGACUUUACCUUCUCACAGACGAGGUAUGGAUUCCUAGCCAAGGCGACAAAAGUUACUGGAUUGGGAAGGCUUUGUUUUCCCGAUGCAGAAAAGGAAGACCCAUUCCUCUCGUGUUCCCUUAUCGUCGAUUGCAGAGUAUGGGCGAGCCCUUGGGUGUCACGCUAGCAUGGGCGGAGGUAUGGGCUUGAGUAGUGGAGUUUGCCGUGGUCUGCUUAGUUGUGGCCUACAAGCAUGGAUUGAUGCUAGGUGGAUUCGCGCGUCGACUCGGGAACCCAGGAGUACUGUGAAUCGUUGGAUCGUGAAGCCAGAUCCAACGGUCGUACUAUUGCGGCGCUGGGAGCUGCUGGUAAGGAACCCUAAUAGGUUUAGGGUUUCCAGAAUUGGGCCCGUAACAACUGGGCUAUCGAGUCACGGGCUUGUAGCUUUGGCUUGGGCCAUUUUGGUUCGGCCUGUUCAGAGUUUAAUAUUGAUGUAGGCCUGUAACAACAAUAAAAUAUU